ACGAUAACGGCGUCGAGCGGCGGACGGGUGAGUAAUGCCUAGGAAAUUGCCCUGGUGUGGGGGAUAACCAUUGGAAACGAUGGCUAAUACCGCAUAAUACCUACGGGUCAAAGAGGGGGACCUUCGGGCCUCUCGCGUCAGGAUAUGCCUAGGUGGGAUUAGCUAGUUGGUGAGGUAAUGGCUCACCAAGGCGACGAUCCCUAGCUGGUCUGAGAGGAUGAUCAGCCACACUGGAACUGAGACACGGUCCAGACUCCUACGGGAGGCAGCAGUGGGGAAUAUUGCACAAUGGGCGCAAGCCUGAUGCAGCCAUGCCGCGUGUGUGAAGAAGGCCUUCGGGUUGUAAAGCACUUUCAGUCGUGAGGAAGGUAGUGUAGUUAAUAGCUGCAUUAUUUGACGUUAGCGACAGAAGAAGCACCGGCUAACUCCGUGCCAGCAGCCGCGGUAAUACGGAGGGUGCGAGCGUUAAUCGGAAUUACUGGGCGUAAAGCGCAUGCAGGUGGUUUGUUAAGUCAGAUGUGAAAGCCCGGGGCUCAACCUCGGAAUAGCAUUUG
rnacentral:rRNA from 1 species